GCCCUUAUAGCACAGUGGUAAUGCGUUGCACUCGUAUCUCGACAUGCAAAGAUCGCUGGUUCGAUUCCAGCUGAGGGCA
rnacentral:tRNA from 1 species